rnacentral:misc_RNA from 3 species
UUUAAUUACCCAAGUUUGAG